rnacentral:lncRNA from 1 species
GAGAUAAAUUCUUAAGGAAUGAAUUCUGUGAAUUGUAAAAUUGUGCAGGAUUGGAAUGCUAAUAGAAAUGGUAAGGUUGAGCAAUAUAAAAAAAAUAAAAAAUAAAAAAGACAAUAAAGAAAUGCCUUGAAAACUGGUUCAACUUGUUUCUAAAUAAAAAAAAUUACAGCAGAUAGCUUCUCCAAUAUUAAAUACAAAAAAGAUAACUGAGUGGUUGAUGCUAUAGAAGUUGGAGAAGGCAUAGAGAAACUAUGAAGCUACGAAAAAUUGAGAAAAAGUAGAAGAGAUACAUGAAUUUUCAAGCUCUGGAUACC